rnacentral:piRNA from 1 species
CUUUGCUGUGGCCUCCUCUUU